rnacentral:rRNA from 1 species
UACGGGGGGAGCAAGCGUUGUUCGGAUUUACUGGGCGUAAAGGGCGCGUAGGCGGCCACCGCAAGUCACUUGUGAAAUCUCCGGGCUUAACUCGGAACGGUCAAGUGAAACUGUCAUGCUAGAGUGCAGAAGGGGCAAUCGGAAUUCUUGGUGUAGCGGUGAAAUGCGUAGAUAUCAAGAGGAACACCUGAGGUGAAGACGGGUUGCUGGGCUGACACUGACGCUGAGGCGCGAAAGCCAGGGGAGCAAACGGG